CUUGAAUCUUAAUGUUGUCUUAGCUUCAUUCUUUGAACCCUCUGCGCCUAAUGAUGUUCUUUGGACUUGUGUUUGGUGGACCAGAAACUGGUGCUACCUUGUGCAUACUGCAAGGCAUUUUCGAUCUGUUUGGCCUAUGAUUUAGUGGAUACUUCGCACACAUGAUAUGCCUAAAAUGGUAUUAUCAUUUGUUCAUUGGUUGAAAGGCAAAUAGUCCCUACUUGCGAUGACUACUUACAAAAUGAUGCUGGUGCAAUGGGUUAAACCUCAUCGAACUCUCCAGAGAUGGCGCCUGAUCUGUCCAGAUACUACUACACAAGUGAUAAAUCAAUUGCAGCUGAACAUAGAAGACAAGAUGAUGGAGCGACCAAUGCUGGUGUGGACAGCAAAGUUAGUUGAUGAUGGAAGUAAGCACGUACUGGUUUCAUGUUGGUUUUGGAAGAACUAGAUGCGCAUGAUCAAGUAGUGUCAAGAUAGCAUAAGGACAAAGCAUCUGUAUUUUCUUAGGCGAUCCUUUCUUAUUUCUUAUUACCAUGUUAAAGGUGCACUACCCAAUUGAACCUCCUACUGUGCCCAUAUUUUUGUUUGGAAGGAGUUCCGAUUUUCCA